rnacentral:rRNA from 1 species
UACGUAGGUGGCAAGCGUUGUCCGGAAUUAUUGGGCGUAAAGCGCGCGCAGGCGGUCCUUUAAGUCUGAAUGUGAAAGCCCACGGCUCAACCGUGGAGGGUCAUUGGAAACUGGGGGACUUGAGUGCAGGAGAGAAGAGUGGAAUUCCACGUGUAGCGGUGAAAUGCGUAGAGAUGUGGAGGAACACCAGUGGCGAAGGCGACUCUUGGCCUGUAACUGACGCUUGAGGCGCGAAAGCGUGGGGAGCAAACAGG